GUCCAUUCCACGGGUUCCGUGCCGUAGCUAACGCUUUAAGUACCCCGCCUGGGGAGUACGGCCGCAAGGCUAAAACUCAAAGGAAUUGACGGGGCCCCGCACAAGCGGCGGAGCAUGCGGAUUAAUUCGAUGCAACGCGAAGAACCUUACCUGGGUUUGACAUGGAUCGGGAGUGCUCAGAGAUGGGUGUGCCUCUUUUGGGGUCGGUUCACAGGUGGUGCAUGGCUGUCGUCAGCUCGUGUCGUGAGAUGUUGGGUUAAGUCCCGCAACGAGCGCAACCCUUGUUCACUGUUGCCAGCACGUUAUGGUGGGGACUCAGUGGAGACCGCCGGGGUCAACUCGGAGGAAGGUGGGGAUGACGUCAAGUCAUCAUGCCCCUUAUGUCCAGGGCUUCACGCAUGCUACAAUGGCUGGUACAGAGAGUGGCGAGCCUGUGAGGGUGAGCGAAUCUCGGAAAGCCGGUCUCAGUUCGGAUUGGGGUCUGCAACUCGACCUCAUGAAGUCGGAGUCGCUAGUAAUCGCAGAUCAGCAACGCUGCGGUGAAUACGUUCCCGGGGCUUGUACACACCGCCCGUCAAGUCAUGAAAGUUGGUAACACCCGAAGCCGGUGGCCUAACCGUUGUGGGGGAGCCGUCGAAGGUGGGACUGGUGAUUAGGACUAAGUCGUAACAAGGUAGCCGUACCGGAAGGUGCGGCUG
rnacentral:rRNA from 1 species